rnacentral:rRNA from 1 species
GGGUUGUGAGGUUAAGCGACUAAGCGUACACGGUGGAUGCCCUGGCAGUCAGAGGCGAUGAAGGACGUGCUAAUCUGCGAUAAGCGCCGGUAAGGUGAUAUGAACCGUUAUAACCGGCGAUUUCCGAAUGGGGAAACCCAGUGUGAUUCGUCACACUAUCAUUAACUGAAUCCAUAGGUUAAUGAGGCGAACCGGGGGAACUGAAACAUCUAAGUACCCCGAGGAAAAGAAAUCAACCGAGAUUCCCCCAGUAGCGGCGAGCGAACGGGGAGGAGCCCAGAGCCUGAAUCAGCAUGUGUGUUAGUGGAAGCGUCUGGAAAGGCGCGCGAUACAGGGUGACAGCCCCGUACACAAAAGCGCAUGUGCUGUGAGCUCGAUGAGUAGGGCGGGACACGUGGUAUCCUGUCUGAAUAUGGGGGGACCAUCCUCCAAGGCUAAAUACUCCUGACUGACCGAUAGUGAACCAGUACCGUGAGGGAAAGGCGAAAAGAACCCCGGCGAGGGGAGUGAAAAAGAACCUGAAACCGUGUACGUACAAGCAGUGGGAGCACCCUUUGGGGUGUGACUGCGUACCUUUUGUAUAAUGGGUCAGCGACUUAUAUUCUGUAGCAAGGUUAACCGUAUAGGGGAGCCGCAGGGAAACCGAGUCUUAAUUGGGCGUUAAGUUGCAGGGUAUAGACCCGAAACCCGGUGAUCUAGCCAUGGGCAGGUUGAAGGUUGGGUAACACUAACUGGAGGACCGAACCGACUAAUGUUGAAAAAUUAGCGGAUGACCUGUGGCUGGGGGUGAAAGGCCAAUCAAACCGGGAGAUAGCUGGUUCUCCCCGAAAGCUAUUUAGGUAGCGCCUCGUGAAUUCAUCUCCGGGGGUAGAGCACUGUUUCGGCUAGGGGGCCAUCCCGGCUUACCAACCCGAUGCAAACUGCGAAUACCGGAGAAUGUUAUCACGGGAGACACACGGCGGGUGCUAACGUCCGUCGUGAAGAGGGAAACAACCCAGACCGCCAGCUAAGGUCCCAAAGUCAUGGUUAAGUGGGAAACGAUGUGGGAAGGCCCAGACAGCCAGGAUGUUGGCUUAGAAGCAGCCAUCAUUUAAAGAAAGCGUAAUAGCUCACUGGUCGAGUCGGCCUGCGCGGAAGAUGUAACGGGGCUAAACCAUGCACCGAAGCUGCGGCAGCGACGCUGAUGCGUUGUUGGGUAGGGGAGCGUUCUGUAAGCCUGCGAAGGUGGCCUGUGAGGGUUGCUGGAGGUAUCAGAAGUGCGAAUGCUGACAUAAGUAACGAUAAAGCGGGUGAAAAGCCCGCUCGCCGGAAGACCAAGGGUUCCUGUCCAACGUUAAUCGGGGCAGGGUGAGUCGACCCCUAAGGCGAGGCCGAAAGGCGUAGUCGAUGGGAAACGGGUUAAUAUUCCCGUACUUGGUGUUACUGCGAAGGGGGGACGGAGAAGGCUAUGUUGGCCGGGCGACGGUUGUCCCGGUUUAAGCGUGUAGGUGUGUGUUCCAGGUAAAUCCGGUUCACUUUAACACUGAGGCGUGAUGACGAGGCACUACGGUGCUGAAGCAACAAAUGCCCUGCUUCCAGGAAAAGCCUCUAAGCAUCAGGUAACAUCAAAUCGUACCCCAAACCGACACAGGUGGUCAGGUAGAGAAUACCAAGGCGCUUGAGAGAACUCGGGUGAAGGAACUAGGCAAAAUGGUGCCGUAACUUCGGGAGAAGGCACGCUGACACGUAGGUGAAGUGAUUUACUCAUGGAGCUGAAGUCAGUCGAAGAUACCAGCUGGCUGCAACUGUUUAUUAAAAACACAGCACUGUGCAAACACGAAAGUGGACGUAUACGGUGUGACGCCUGCCCGGUGCCGGAAGGUUAAUUGAUGGGGUCAGCGCAAGCGAAGCUCCUGAUCGAAGCCCCGGUAAACGGCGGCCGUAACUAUAACGGUCCUAAGGUAGCGAAAUUCCUUGUCGGGUAAGUUCCGACCUGCACGAAUGGCGUAAUGAUGGCCAGGCUGUCUCCACCCGAGACUCAGUGAAAUUGAACUCGCUGUGAAGAUGCAGUGUACCCGCGGCAAGACGGAAAGACCCCGUGAACCUUUACUAUAGCUUGACACUGAACAUUGAGCCUUGAUGUGUAGGAUAGGUGGGAGGCUUUGAAGUGUGGACGCCAGUCUGCAUGGAGCCGACCUUGAAAUACCACCCUUUAAUGUUUGAUGUUCUAACGUGGACCCGUGAUCCGGGUUGCGGACAGUGUCUGGUGGGUAGUUUGACUGGGGCGGUCUCCUCCUAAAGAGUAACGGAGGAGCACGAAGGUUGGCUAAUCCUGGUCGGACAUCAGGAGGUUAGUGCAAUGGCAUAAGCCAGCUUGACUGCGAGCGUGACGGCGCGAGCAGGUGCGAAAGCAGGUCAUAGUGAUCCGGUGGUUCUGAAUGGAAGGGCCAUCGCUCAACGGAUAAAAGGUACUCCGGGGAUAACAGGCUGAUACCGCCCAAGAGUUCAUAUCGACGGCGGUGUUUGGCACCUCGAUGUCGGCUCAUCACAUCCUGGGGCUGAAGUAGGUCCCAAGGGUAUGGCUGUUCGCCAUUUAAAGUGGUACGCGAGCUGGGUUUAGAACGUCGUGAGACAGUUCGGUCCCUAUCUGCCGUGGGCGCUGGAGAACUGAGGGGGGCUGCUCCUAGUACGAGAGGACCGGAGUGGACGCAUCACUGGUGUUCGGGUUGUCAUGCCAAUGGCACUGCCCGGUAGCUAAAUGCGGAAGAGAUAAGUGCUGAAAGCAUCUAAGCACGAAACUUGCCCCGA